CACGUAGGGCGCGAGCGUUGUCCGGAAUUAUUGGGCGUAAAGAGCUCGUAGGCGGCCUGUUGCGUCCGCUGUGAAAGCCCGGGGCUUAACCCCGGGUCGGCAGUGGAUACGGGCAGGCUAGAGGUAGGUAGGGGAGAAUGGAAUUCCCGGUGUAGCGGUGAAAUGCGCAGAUAUCGGGAGGAACACCGAUGGCGAAGGCAGUGGGCUGGGCCGGCACUGACGCUGAGGAGCGAAAGCGUGGGGAGCGAACAGG
rnacentral:rRNA from 1 species